rnacentral:lncRNA from 1 species
UUUUUGCAGACCUCGUGGUGAGGUGCGUGUUUGCAACAUAUUGAACGUAUCAGUGUAUUGUGCAUGUUUAUGUUAAUAAUUUCCUAUGACACAUAUUAGUAAUCAGUAUAUAAGGAAGUUCAUGGAAUUACAAUGGUUUCUUAUACAAUAUCAACCUAAUAUUAAACAUAGGAAUGUUUUUCCGUCUGCUGCGUCAAUUUGUAAAAAGAAGUUCCACUUUUCCUUAAAUUAAUCUAUCGCAUUAAUUUAUAAAAAAAGUUUCACUUUUCCUCAAAUCAACCCGUAGUCCUGUCACACUCGUCCAUCUCCGUUUUCUAAAAAACUACCCUACCUCAUCCUUGUGUCAACCCAAGGUUCUGCUGCCCUCCAC